CAUUAUAGCGGGCUUAGGGAGUUUGCAGUGGUGUCUUGUUGUGGUUUUGAUUUUUCACUUCCCUCAUGAGAGGGCCUAAUACAUUCUUAGCCAUCUAUGAAACGAGAUAGCUUGAAAACUGCCCAGAAGACUUUCCUGUAGCAGUAGAGGCCCUGAGGUUUACCUGUCACCUGCGCUCUUUGUAGCCAAAUGCUAAAUGCGCGUCUGCAUAGCGAAGACUGUGCUACAGGCUCGAAGGGUAACAGCGCUAUAAUAUAACAAUAUAACAGCGUCCCAUUAUACAGCAACGGAAACUGAGGCGUGACGACGUUAAACAGACUUGCUUAAGGUCCUAGGACUAGGUGGUAAGGCUACCAGGAUUAAGUUCCAGGUCCGAUUCCCAAGCCCAGCUCUUAACCACAACACCAUGGUGAUUCCUGCUGGAGAAGAACACCAUCAGACACUCUUCGCUUUCAAGGUUCGGCAAAUCCUUGCCAUGUGUGUCUGCCGCGAGCCAGGGGCUGCUCUGGCCUGCUCGGCCCUGAAGGAAGCUGCUGUAGGGGGCAGCGCACAGCCUGGAGAGUUCGGAGUUUGCCAGUGAGUGAGUUUUGUAGAGUGAAGAAAUGAGUUUUAUAAUUUUUAUUUGAUUUAGCCCUCAAGUUGUUAACACCUCCAGUGCAGGGGCUGGGGAGAGGGCUCUCUAUAAAUAUUAGCUCCCCAAGUGAAAAUGCCUCUUUCAUCUCUGCAGACCUAAUUAAGCUGUUGAUUAGAGACGGAUCAACACCUCCGCGUGUAACAAAAGCCACUGUCUGUGGGCGGGAGGCUCUGGCAGGGCCGUUUCCCCUGCAGUUUAGAACACGGGAGAGGACAGGGCACAGGCGACCCAGGGGCCCCAAAGGGACAGGCCUUGCUUCACUCAGCCCCACCGCGGCCCACGCCCACGCACCGUCCAGGCAGCCGGGAGCGCGAUCACCUGGGAGGCAUUUGACGGCCCUGUCAUCCAAGCAGAAGCUUCGAGCCAAAGACAAAUUGGCUGACAGAGGCAGUACCGCUUCUGGGGCACAAAUGGAGCCUGGCAGCUCAGGAAGACCCACCCCUGCCCCCGAGGACUCCAGCCGGCAGCGGGGCCGGCCCCACGCAAGCCUCCCUUCUCUCCAGUGGCGCAACCGUGUCCUGAGAGCAGUGGAGAGAAACAACUGCUUUCCCAGGGAGACCCAGGGAGUCUGCCUUUGCAGGGUGGGAAAGAGCAUCUUCCUGCAAGAACGUGUGUGCCCGCCAAGAGCCGGGGCGCGGGCGGCAGGGACUCGGCCGGCUCCCGCCCAGCCCCAGCCGAGGCCAUCCGCAGCGCACCGCACCGCCUGGGCGCCUGGCCGUGCCCCCCGCCCCGGCCCCCAGGAGCAGCCACGGGCUGGGGGUGGGCCACGAGUCUGUGGGACGUAAAGGAGGCCGUUCUCGACGUGCAGUCACGACAGUCGUCACUUACGUACGGGGCGCAGACGCCCGCAGACAGGAACUCACGUCCUCCCCACAGAGACCCUAGGCGGGCGUGGUACCAGGGCCACGUUACAAUGAACAGACCGCGGUGCAGAAAGCUGGGGAUACACAGCUGACAAGUGAGCAGUUUCCCCCAGCGCCUGGGCCCUACCCGCUGUGCGAUGCGGUCUGCCCGCGGUGGGCACUUGUGUGGCCCUAACCACUGUGCUACACCAGCGAUGGACUGUGGACACUGGUCUGGGUUUCCAGCAACCUGAAAGGCCCGGGCCUAUAGAUCUAGACAUCUAAGAAUCUCCUGAGCUUCUACUGCGUGCGCAGCCUCAUUCUAGAUACCAUGAGAGAGAAUAAGAAGACCCUUGGGGAUAAGGAAAAGACUCUGAGAAAACAGCUGCAGGGCAAGGCCGUGCACACAGAGGGCUCUGGAAGUGGUCGGACACAGUAACUGAGCUGCCACCUGGGGAGAGCCGUGGGCUGGCUCAAGUGCCAGCCACUGAACCGUAAGGAAGGAAAGCAGCAGAGGUGGAGGAGCAAGAACCCCACCCCAUGAUGCCUGGCUCCGCCCCUUUCCCUGCGGUCUGCUGCCACUCCGCUGUUGGCCUGGAUCUUCUCUACUGGACGGGGCGUGACCAAGAGAGCACGUGGAAAUUGAAGCCAUGUGGAACUUAACAGGAGAUCAAAUAGUGCCUUCAGCAUCGCAGGGCAGCCCCGAGUUGGCCCCGGUGAAGGGAUCUGCCUUUCCUGGUGUUCUGGGCCCCUCUCCUCCCAGCCUGCUGCAGGUCAGUCUUUUUUCCAUUACAAAUUGCUCAUAAGCACACACAUUGCCAGAUGCCUGCGUGAAAGCUGGCAUUCAGGUUGUGCGGGUGGUGGGAGCUCCGUGAUGAUUAGGGCAGCAGUGAGCUGUUGCCCAGAGCCCAGGCUGCUGCAGGAAAGGCCCCCAGAAGGGCGCAUGCUCCCAGAUGGGCUCUGCUGGGGACACUGUGGAGCGGUGCAGCCCGACAGUGAGUCACUUAUCAAGGGACUAGGACUACCUCGGAGGAGUGAGAUCGCUAAGCACAGAGCAGCGUUUGAGGGGUUUGGCACCUGUCAGACAGUCCUAGCCUGCAUUUGGGUUGAGUUGCAGGGGUUCAGCUUCCUGCUCACAGAGGAUCCGAUCCACAGCCCAGUGAGUGAAGCAGGAGUAUUAGCCACAUUUCAUGGAUGUGGACACAGAUUCUAGAACCCGGAGCUGUCAUUCCUGUCCCAGGAAUGGCCUUUCCCCUGCAUUUGGUAGCACUUCCUGUCCCCUGAUCCUGAAUCAGCCACGUUCACUGAUGUCGCCAGGUGGUGGUGGAACUUUAAUGCACAACCCUCAGAACAGGCACUCUUUUUUUUUUUUUAAGUUUAUUUAUUAUUUGAAAGAGUUACAGAGAGAGGGAGAGAGAGAGAGAGAGAGAGAGAGAGAGAGAGAGAAGGGAGACAGAGAGAUCUUCCAUCUGCUGGUUCACUCCCCAAAUGGCUGCAAUGGCCAGGGCUGGGCUGGGCUAGGCCAAAGCCAGGAGCUUCCUGUAGUUCUCCCACAUGAGUGCAGGGGCCUAAGGACUUGGGCCAUCCUCCGCUGCUUUCCCAGGUACAUUAACAGGGAGCUGAAUCAUAAGUGGAGUGACUGGACAUGAACUGGUGCCUGUAUAGGAUGAUGGCACUGCAAACAGAAGCUUAACAUACUGCCUAACAGCGAUAGCCCCAAUGCUCAUUCUUUAACAAAUAUUAGUGGUGUGUGUGUGUGUGUGUGUGUGUGUGAGAGAGAGAGAGAGAGAGAGAGAGAAGGAGAGAGGGAGGGAGGGAGAAAUAAAAUAUGAGAUAAUAAGUCCUCCCUGGCCCCUUGUUAUUGUGGCAUCCAAAGUUCUUAGGCAUCUCAUGAUGAAUGCUGAACUUCAUGGUCAUAAGAUACUCCAGAAACCUGAGCUGUUGGGAAAAAGAAGUGACCAGCUAGUAAAUGGAAAGCAGCUUCUUACCAGAAUGGGAGAGAAGGCAAGAGAUGAGCAUUCUGAAACCUUUUCCAUACGGCAGCAAUGGCGCUAGGGGCGUGCGUGGGUUACUGCUGCCAUUCUUACUAUCCCCGGUAAUACCAUGCUCAGUGCUUCCUCCUCUCUGGGGCUCUUCCAGACACCAAGGUGAUUGCCCUUUGCCACGGCCUUGCUGAAGGCAGGCCUGGUUGACAAAUUUGCCCUAGUGAUUGGUGUUGCUCCCCCUCUUCAUGGAGGAACGACACUAAACCCUGCCUAGGCUUCAUAUCCGAGUCACGGCACCAUUAUGUCGCUCCCCGUCUUCAUGGAGGAACGACACAGGACCCUGCGCUGUUCUUUCGUCUGCUCGGCCCUCCCCGGGUUUGCUGCUGGUUCUUCCCGGGUUGGCUGCCGUCCCUUCCACCUCCGUGGAAGGGCGGUUCCCCCUGCCACAUUCCCCACUUCCGCGGGGGAGCAGCACACCGCCGGCCGGCUCUCUCGGGGGCUGCACAGGUGUUCCCCUUAGAUGUUCCUGGUGCAUGUUGUCUCUCUCCUCCUUUAUAGUCCUUCCACCAAUCCCAACUCUGCUACCCACACGCCGAGUAUGCUGCUCUCCUCCAAUCAGGAGCAGGUCCUACAGUUUAUUGGUUGAACUGGAGGCAGCUGCGUAGAAGCUGUUUCUCCCUUCUCAGCGCCAUAUUGUGGGAGAGCAGAUGCAUAGAAUAAGUCCUAAUUCCAGUAACUUAGUCUAGUCCGGGUUGCUCCCCACAAUUGGUAAAUGGAAGAUGUGCAUCUCCUCUGGACUAAAGCAUUUUAUAGUCACUGGAAGUUCCCCACAAUCCUAUUCCAAUCUUGAAAGCCCAUGGUUGACUAUGUGACCCAUCAUCAGAGCAGCCUGGAGUAGAGGGCAGAUGCCUUGGUCAGCUCCUGCACCUGUAGCCAAAUUUGCCUGAAUAAGAAAUAAACCUUAGGGCCAGUGUGUGGCACAACAGAUUAAGCUGCUGCCUUUGAUGCUGUAUCCCAUAUUGGAGCGACAGUUUGAGUCCUGACUGCUCCACUUCCGAUCCAGCUCACUGGGAAUGCUCCUGGGAACGCAGCAGAUGGUCUAAGUACUUGGACCCCUGCUACCCAUGUGGGAGACCCGGAUGGCAUUCUUGGCUCCUGGCUUCAGCCUGGUCCCCAUCAUGGCCUUUUGGGGAGUAAACCAACAGAUCUCUCUCUCUUUCCCCCUCUCUUUCUCUCUCUCUCUCUCUCUCUCUGCUUUUCAAAUAAAUAAAUAUUAUAAAGAAGAAAUGAACCUUUAUAUUUUAAAAAUACUUAUUACUUAUUUGGAAGCCAGAGUUGCAGAUAGUGAGAAGGAAGUAGAGAGAAAGAGCUCUUCCAUGUGCUGGUUCACUCCCCAAAUGGCCAGGAUGGUUGGGCCAGGACCAGGCUAACGUCAGGAGCCAGAAUUUCAUCCGGGUCUUCCACAUGGGUGGCAGGAGUCCAAGUACUUAGACCAUCCUAUGCUUCCUUCCCAGGUACAUUAGCAAGGGAGCUGGAUUGGAAGCAGAGUAGCUGGGACUUGAACUGGUGUUCUGAUAUGAGAUACCGCAUUGCAAGUGGCAGCCUAACUGUUGUGCCACAACACCAGACCCAACCUUUACUUUAAUCUGCUAAAAUUUUAGAGUUGCUCGUCAUUUCAGUAUAGGCUAGUAUAUGCUGCCUAGUGAACACCCUCACUAUAUAGAUAAGGAAACCAGGGCCCUGAAUAGAUCAAGAACUUGCCAAAGGCACACAAAGUCAUAGGUAGGAAUGCCAGGGUUUGAUCCCAGAUACAGCUCGGCAAGGGUUGCUUCACCUUGGGAGUAGGAAAGGCAGGAUGGGGCUGGUGUGGGAGGUGGGGGACAAAUACUGGGAACGUGACAGGGAAGUCCUCUGUCCCACUCUUGGUCACUGUAGCCCGUGGCGCUGAGAGCUUUUACAGUGCCUUUUCACCCUGCUGUUUCUCUUGGCAGAGACAUGCUCAGGCCUCUACUAUGGAUGCCACGUGCCCAGGAUGGAGUCUGCCAUUCUCAUGGGUCUUUCUUUACCUCCUGCUGCAGCCCAAUGAGUGGAGCCCUGGUCUGUGGCAGGAUUUCUAAAGCGUGCCUGGACGUAAGAGCACAUGGGGCCACACACCAAACCCUGGUCGGCUCCCCUGGCUGUGGCUGCAGUCUGUUUGCCAUGGUUCUCAGGGCUUAAGGAGCCCUCCAGGGGCCUCAUGCCUUCUGGCAAGUUUGGAAAUGCUGAGAGACAUGCAGUGCCUUCAGUGAGCUGAAUUUUGGGGGAGUGAAGUUAUAGGUUACUUUGGCAUCCUCAACCCAGAGGGGAGCCCUUGGCCCCUUUAGCCCAAGCAAUUCUUUUGCCUGCUUCCUUUCUUUUCAUUUUUUAUAAACUGUAAGAAAAGAUCUGUCUGGUUUUUUGCUUUGUUUUUAAGAUGCAACCCAUUGGCUUCCUAUAUCCCUCAAUAUUCCGUUUGCAAAUCCAUGCGAGAAGCUGCUGUGGCGUUUCCCAUCCAGGAAUGUCUGUGUCUGUUCCUAAUCCUGGUGACACUGUGACUCUCAGGACCAAUAGCGCUGUCCUCUUUGCUCUAGCAUCUGGGCCAAAUCCACAGUUUUCCUUAGCAAAGAUUUGGUGUAGCUCCCGGGAUUUAUCUUAUUUUUCUAUCCCCAUUUUUUAGUUGUUUGCUAGAAUAAAUACCAUUUUCAUCUUAUGUGCUGUUCUGUAAGCUUUCACAAAUCAUAUUUGAAAUGAAGUGGGUUGGAUGCAGAUCAAGAUCAUUGGGGGGAAAUGGUGACCUGGAAUCACUGGCUCAGGGUUUCAGCUUGUGCACAGGAACUGGAAAAGAACAAAGCCAGCUCUCCUCAAGGGGGGCUGAGGGGCAGUGCGGGUCACGGUGUCCUGGGCCCCAGAACAGAGAGAGGCAGGUGGGCGUAGAACCCAUUCUGUAACUUUCCCUCUGUGC